CUGAGGGGUCCCGGCUGUCUCUGGGCUUCACAGGACAGGAGCCACGCUGGCUUUUCCUGAAAAUGCUGUAGCGUGGAUCUUGCCUGCUCGUGUCCAUCUCUCACAGGACAACCCCGCCCGUGCGGCUGCUGGCCGAGGAGACCCCGGUCCUUCGAGCCCAUCUUCCAUGCUGGGGGCCUUGGACCAAGUCCAGUGAUCGGGGUCGGCAGCAAAUCUUUGCCCAGAUGCUUCUGACACUGAUGAAAUCGGAGGAUGUGAGUCAGCCGGCUAUGUCUGCUCCAGUGUUUCACUUUUUAAACCAAUAUCAUUGUUGUGAAAAAGUUUGACAGUCUCGUCUCCUCAGUGUGAGCCGCGUGUUGACCACCCCGAAGUGACCCUCGUAGUGGGUUGCAGACGUGGGAAC
rnacentral:lncRNA from 1 species